UCGCUCAUCUCCGGCUUCACGGUCGUCCUGAAGCUUUCGCUGUCCGCAGAUUUCAGUGUUGCGGGCUCUGCCUUUCUCGCCUAUGCCGCUUGCUCGUGUUCUUCGAGAUCUGUCGUUGUUUUAUCUGCCUUGGCAUCGCUGCUUGGUGCUGUGGGACUGUUGGAUCUGUCGGUGCAGAUGAGGAGCCACAAGUUGUAAUGGGUAAUUUGCAUCUGAGGCAUCUCUGUGAUGUCACACCCUUUUUCACCUUGGAGAUCUGAUGCACCCAAUGCUCCGCCUCAAGUCCAUCUCUGUAGCGUCCUACAGUUGUUUUGAUUUAUUUUUUCCCCGUCGUUGCCUUUUCCCCGUUUCAGUAUGUCUGCCUUUUCUCUUUUUCUGUCUGGAUUCGUGUUCUUCGAUCUGGAUUCAUCUUUCAAGAAGGGUGUGGUUCAGUCACGCCAUUGGUGCUGCUGUGUGUGGUGGUCUGGAGAUGAAAUGACGAUGAAAUUGUUUCCCUAUUGGUUUGAUUGGCCGCCAUGAUGGCUCAAACUGUAUUAGCUCUAUCUGAUCAUCGCUGCCGUCUUGUGUCAUGUAUAAUCUGUCGCAUUUCUUUUCUCGAGAACGAUCUUAUAUUUGUGCACAAACGAUUCAAAUGUGUCCUGCUGAGGAUAUGAUGACCCUUUCCCCAGAUGAUCGACAGUGAACAUAUUGAGCGCAACAAGUUCUCUAUUAGAGAACCAAGCCAGAAUUCUGAUCCUCCACUUACGCAGAAAAUGUACCCCCGAACGUAAUGCAGUGCUUAUUUUUUUGUUGUUGCCCCUUACCAAAACCGAUGCUUCUUUUUUUGUGCUUGUUUGUUUCUCUCAACUGCGUUGCACACCACGGAGAAUAUGAUGACCCUUUCCCCAGAUGAUCGACGCUGAACAUACUGAGCGCUACAUUUUCUCGUUCGAGAAAGCCAAGCCAGAACUCUGAUUCUCUGAAGUGCUUCGUCGAUCUACCUCUUUCUUUAUUCAUCCGAUUACCGGGACUGUUUGUUAAUUUGAAGAAGAAACCAAAAUAUGCAUCUAAAGUGGCCACUUGUCAUUUGAGAUCUGCGUUGAAAAACUGAUUACCAGUGGAUUGAUUUAGAUGGCCACUGCGUAUGAGUCAACGCCAAACUGAUCCCAGCUCAAAUUCGUGCAUGUA